rnacentral:rRNA from 1 species
AGGAAGUAAAAGUCGUAACAAGGUUUCCGUAGGUGAACCUGCGGAAGGAUCAUUAUUGAGAGCUUUUUUAGCUUUUAUUACCCAUUGUUUACCUUCCAUGUUGCUUUCACUAGACAGGUUUAGCUCGUGAGAGCAGAACCCCUUGGCUAAUGCGUAUGCAUUGGCUGGGGAGUGCUGGUGGACGCCAAACACAUAAAACCUUUCAAAUACCAUCGGUCUGAACAUAUAUUAAAACAUUAAAAACUUUUAACAACGGAUCUCUAGGCUCUUGCAUCGAUGAAGAACGCAGUGAAAUGCGAUAAGUAAUGUGAAUUGCAGAAUCUCGUGAAUCAUUGAAUCUUUGAACGCACAUUGCGCCUUAUGGUAAUCCGUAAGGCAUGCCUGUCUGAGCGUCAUAUGCCUUCAUCUCAAGCACUUUUAGCUUGGAUAGCCUUGGAAAAGCAUUCACUAUGUGAGCGGCCUUCCAGAAAUGCAUAGGCGGUAUGGUUGUUUCUAGACUAGACGUAAUAUCUUAAAAUCGUCCUCUAAAAGCAUAAUACUUGUCUUUAACCCACCCUUUAUCAUAUUUGGGUGACCUCAGAU